GGGACAGGUGCCCAUUACAUUCAACACACCUGGGAGACAGGUGCCCAUUAUAUACAACAAACCUGGGGACAGGUGCCCAUUAUAUACAACACACCUGGGGGACAGGUGCCCAUUAUAUACAACACACCUGGGGGACAGGUGCCCAUUACAUAGAACACACCUGGGGGACAGGUGCCCAUUACAUAGAACACACCUGGGAGACAGGUGCCCAUUAAAUACAACACAUCUGGGGACAGAUGCCCA